CCUACGGGAUGCAGCAGUGGGGAAUAUUGUGCAAUGGGCGAAAGCCUGACGCAGCGACGCCGCGUGAGGGAUGAAGGUCUUCGGAUCGUCAACCUCUGUCAGCAGGGACGAACGGUCACUGUGCUAAUCAGCAGUGAAUUGACGGUACCUGCAAAGGAAGCACCGGCUAACUCCGUGCCAGCAGCCGCGGUAAUACGGAGGGUGCGAGCGUUAAUCGGAAUUACUGGGCGUAAAGCGCUCGUAGGCGGUAUGUCAAGUCAAGGGUGAAAUCCCCGCGCUCAACGUGGGAACUGCCGUUGAAACUGGCAAACUGGAGUGUGUGAGAGGAUAGUGGAAGUCCAGGUGGAGGAGGGAAAUCGGUAGAUAGCUGGAGGAACAUCAGGGGCGAAGGAGACUAUCUGGCACAUAACUGACGCUGAGGAGCGAAAGCGUGGGUAGCAAACAGGAUUAGAUACCCUAGUAGGC
rnacentral:rRNA from 1 species